rnacentral:lncRNA from 1 species
AAAGUCCAAAUUGGAGGAGAAAAGAGCUAAAGAAAAAAAGAGUGGACCAAAUGUGCACAAAAACAUGACUUGGAGACAAAGGUGUAAAAGUGCUCGCACUCAGGCUUACUAUGGUGAGUGUGGUAGGCUCUUUGUGAUCUCUUUUGAGGCUAAAAAUGUCUCACAGUGAGCUCGCCGCUUUUCAAUUGGGCGAAUAUUUCCUAUUUCGGGUAAAUUUCGAGACCUCUUCUGCAAUUUCACUUUAGGUGAUUUUGGCCAUUUAAAUACCAAAUUGUUGGUCACUUUUUAGGGAAACACCCAUAAGAGAACUCUUAGAAAAGCAUUCAAGGAGAGAAAAGGCAAGUAGAAGGGAAAAUAUCUAGCAAAAUUUGGGAGUUUACAAGGAAUAUUCAAGAUUUCUUUCCCUCAUUUCUUCAAAAAUAUAUUUAAGGGACAAUUUUCUUCCACUAUCUUGUAUUUUUAUGUUAUCUCCUUCAUUUGUAAUGGGUUCUCUCUUUAUUUCAUUUUUGUGCUUCUAUUUUACAAUGGGCUAAGUGUUUAAUGUUGGUAUUUAUGAUGUAACUUGACCUAUGUUUCUUUAAUGUCAAUAUUCAUCAUUUA